GCCUACGGCCAUACCACCCUGAGAACGCCCGAUCUCGUCUGAUCUCGGAAGCUAAGUAGGGUCGGGCCUGGUUAGUACUUGGAUGGGAGACCGCCUGGGAAUACCAGGUGCUGUAAGCU
rnacentral:rRNA from 1 species